CAAAAUGGAGAUACUGGUAGCGAC
rnacentral:piRNA from 1 species